UGGGGAAUAUUGCACAAUGGGCGAAAGCCUGAUGCAGCAACGCCGCGUGAGGGACGACAGGCCUUCGGGUUUGUAAACCUCUUUUAGCCAAGGAAGAAGCGAAAGUGACGGUACUUGCAGAAAAAGCGCCGGCUAACUACGUGCCAGCAGCCGCGGUAAUACGUAGGGCGCAAGCGUUAUCCGGAAUUAUUGGGCGUAAAGAGCUCGUAGGCGGUUUGUCGCGUCUGCUGUGAAAAACCCGAGGCUCAACCUCGGGCCUGCAGUGGGUACGGGCAGACUAGAGUGCGGUAGGGGAGAUUGGAACUCCUGGUGUAAGCGGUGGAAUGCGCAGAUAUCAGGAAGAACACCGAUGGCGAAGGCAGAUCUCUGGGCCGUAACUGACGCUGAGGAGCGAAAGGGUGGGGAGCAAAACAGGCUUAGAUACCCUGGUAGUCCACCCCGUAAAACGUUGGGAACUAGUUGUGGGGUCCAUUCCAACGGAUUCCGUGACGCAAGCUAACGCAUUAAGUUCCCCGCCUGGGGGAGUACGGCCG
rnacentral:rRNA from 1 species